AGUCCCGCAACGAGCGCAACCCCUGUGGUUAGUUGCCAGCAGUUCGGCUGGGCACUCUAAUCAGACUGCCAGAGAAGAUCUGGAGGAAGGUGGGGAUGACGUCAAGUCAUCAUGCCCUUUAUGCCUUGGGCGACACACGCGCUACAAUGGCAUGCACAGACAGGAGCGAAGCCGCGAGGCGGAGCAAAUCUGAGAAAACAUGCCUCAGUACAGAUUGCAGGCUGAAACCCGCCUGCAUGAAGUCGGAAUCGCUAGUAAUCGCGGAUCAGCCAUGCCGCGGUGAAUACGUUCCCGGGCCUU
rnacentral:rRNA from 1 species